CGUGAUGAAAUUCCACAGUUUCCUGUCAGUCUGACGACGAAAACGCGUGAGGACGCAAUCCCGAC
rnacentral:snoRNA from 1 species